rnacentral:rRNA from 1 species
UACGUAGGGGGCAAGCGUUAUCCGGAAUUACUGGGCGUAAAGAGUACGUAGGUGGUGCUGUAAGCGCAGGGUUUAAGGCAACGGCCCAACCGUUGUUCGCCCUGUGAACUGCAGUACUUGAGUGCUGGAGGGGAAGGCGGAAUUCCUAGUGUAGCGGUGAAAUGCGUAGAUAUUAGGAGGAACACCAGUGGCGAAGGCGGCCUUCUGGACAGUAACUGACACUGAGGUACGAAAGCGUGGGUAGC